UUCUUGUAGCCAACGAGGGAUUGUGAACCCGCCAUGCCGGUGGCCUUUGGAUUUAUGGCCCAUGCGAUCCAACCACCCGAUUUGGAAGGUGUGGCGAUGAAGGCGAUGGAGAGAGUGGUGUUGGAAGAAUUGUAAGAGAAGUGAAGGUAAGAGGAAAGGUAAGGGAGGUCCAGGCAGUUGGAAUAUACUUGGUUAUGGGUAAACGUCUGGGAACUGCAAGUGAGAGCAGCCGAAGGUGAAAUCAUCAGUGCCAAAAAGCUUAUACAAAUAAAAACAGCCGACGACAACGGCGGGGGCGACGACGGAGACAUUUUCUUCCUUUCCUUUUUUUCUCAGACAAAACACAAAAGGCAAAAGAAUAAAUAACGGC
rnacentral:lncRNA from 1 species